rnacentral:misc_RNA from 1 species
ACUCCUCUCAGUCCAUCUUCAGUCCAGCAGUUCCAGCACUUUAUUCUUAUUUUAUUUUUUGUUUCUUUUUUUCUUUUAGGUUUGUUAAAUGGUUAGUGUGAUAUGCUUUUUAUUAAAUGGGUUGUAUUUGCCAUGGAUUCUUCUAUAUGUCACCUACUUCUAUAUGCGAAAACCAUUAAUUUAUCAUUCAUGAUAGUGCCAUU